ACGUGCCUACGGGAGGCAGCAGUGGGGAAUAUUGCACAAUGGGGGAAACCCUGAUGCAGCGACGCCGCGUGAGUGAAGAAGUAAUUCGUUAUGUAAAGCUCUAUCAGCAGGGAAGAAAAUGACGGUACCUGAGUAAGAAGCCCCGGCUAACUACGUGCCAGCAGCCGCGGUAAUACGUAGGGGGCAAGCGUUAUCCGGAUUUACUGGGUGUAAAGGGAGCGUAGACGGCAGGGCAAGGCUGGAGUGAAAGGCGGGGGGUCA
rnacentral:rRNA from 1 species